AUAUUUCAGAACUAAGUCUAGUUCCAUCCAUAUCAAUGUAAUCUAUUACAUUGAUAUGGAUGGAACUAGAUUCAGUUCUGAAAUAU